rnacentral:lncRNA from 1 species
CCCACUUUUCCCGACCACCCCCCCCAGCGGUCCCCGCCCAAGCCGGGUGGAAGUCCGCGCCUGGCGGGAGGAAUCGAGCGGGGCGUGGGAGGCCCGCACGCUCCCCACCCCCAGCCGCGACCCGGAGGAGGGGAGCGUGAGAGGAGGCUCAGUUCCCCCUCCCAGAGUGGCCCGCGCUGGGGCAACCUCCCGCAGGCUCCGGGCCAGAGUGUGCAAGCCCCCCCCCCCGUGGCCUGGGCCCCGGGCGCCGCGGCCCCCAGCGGAGGGGAAGGGGACCAAGGAGGGGAAAAAGCUGUAAACAGCCCCAGCGUCCGGGCCUCGCCUCGAAGAGCCCCGCUCCCCGGGCCCCGCCGCGGGCCGCCAGGGCCCCCAGUCCUCCCCGGAGCCGCCCCUCCCGGGGCCCAGGGAACCCCAAGGGAGUCGGAGCCCCUCUGCAGAGGGCUCCGCGGUCUCGCGGAGCGGCCCCGGCAACAGAGAAGGGAGAAGUCAGGACUUACCUGUCAUUACUUUCUACGCCAUCUUGGAUCCACUUGUCAACGUCCCCACAAAGCAUUAUGGCUCCCCUGCCCUGCCAGACACCCCACGCCUGCAUUCAAUCAGCCCGAGGUUUCCCUCGCGCUGGCGGCGGCUCGCGGCUCGCUCACUGACUCCACGUGCGCUCUGCUCAGCGCCCCUGCUCCGGGUCUUCGUGCGCCGCGCGGGCUCCCGCACUUCCCGCCCCCGGGCCGUAGCCGCGCGGGGCCGCCCCGGGCGCUCCGUCACUGCGCGGCGGGACGGGCUUCGGUCCUAGCCCGGCGCUCUGGGGCCUUCUGGCUCCGGGAACUGAUCGGACACCAUAUCCCCAAGGCAACCAGCCAUCGAAGCGCAAUAGGGGGGAUGGGGGAAGAGAAUAAGCUAAAUGUAACUUUUACCCCCUGUUUACUCUGACUCUUGCUGUCUCUUCCAUUCGGCCCGUAACGUGAUCCGAGACCCUCUAGCUGGGACCCCACCCCUAGGAAUGUAACUUCGGACUCCGAGGGGACCAGUCCGUUGGGGGCCUGGCUGGAAACUGGAAUUUCCCG